GGUUAAGCGACUAAGCGUACACGGUGGAUGCCCUGGCAGUCAGAGGCGAUGAAGGGCGUGCUAAUCUGCGAUAAGCGCCGGUAAGGUGAUAUGAACCGUUAUAACCGGCGAUACCCGAAUGGGGAAACCCAGUGUGACUCGUCACACUAUCAUUAACUGAAUCCAUAGGUUAAUGAGGCGAACCGGGGGAACUGAAACAUCUAAGUACCCCGAGGAAAAGAAAUCAACCGAGAUUCCCCCAGUAGCGGCGAGCGAACGGGGAGGAGCCCAGAGCCUGAAUCAGCAUGUGUGUUAGUGGAAGCGUCUGGAAAGGCGCGCGAUACAGGGUGACAGCCCCGUACACAAAAGCGCAUGUGCUGUGAGCUCGAUGAGUAGGGCGGGACACGUGGUAUCCUGUCUGAAUAUGGGGGGACCAUCCUCCAAGGCUAAAUACUCCUGACUGACCGAUAGUGAACCAGUACCGUGAGGGAAAGGCGAAAAGAACCCCGGCGAGGGGAGUGAAAAAGAACCUGAAACCGUGUACGUACAAGCAGUGGGAGCCCCACCACCAAAGCAUUUGCUGUACCGCGUUGACGGAGCGAAGCGACGUCAAACCGAUAAAACAGCAGUGUAAAGUGAGCCGCAGGGCGCUUUGCGCGACAGCGCAAAGGCAGGCGGUUUCGCGUAGCGAAAGCGAAUGC
rnacentral:rRNA from 1 species